rnacentral:rRNA from 1 species
UACGUAGGGGGCAAGCGUUGUCCGGAUUUAUUGGGCGUAAAGAGCGUGUAGGCGGCUGGGUAGGUCCGUUGUGAAAACUCGAGGCUCAACCUCGAGACGCCGAUGGAAACCCCCCGGCUAGAGUCCGGAAGAGGAGAGUGGAAUUCCUGGUGUAGCGGUGAAAUGCGCAGAUAUCAGGAGGAACACCAAUGGCGAAGGCAGCUCGCUGGGACGGUACUGACGCUGAGACGCGAAAGCGUGGGGAGCAAACAGG